UCCGCAUCCCCGGGGAGCCGCGUCUGCAAUGGCCGGUUGAGAGCGGAAUAAACCGCGACCCGUUGAACCUGAUCCGGCUAAUACCGGCGGAGGGAGGGUCGGCAUUCCGCAC
rnacentral:ncRNA from 2 species